rnacentral:tRNA from 1 species
GCGCCCCUAGCUCAACUGGUUAGAGCAUCAGACUCUUAAUCUGCAGGUUCCGGGUUCGAGUCCCGGGGGGCGUA